GCUGGGUGUGGUGGUGCACACCUGUAAUCCCAGCUACUCGGGAGGCUGAGGCAGGAGAAUUGCUUGAACCCAGGAGGCAGAUGUGGCAGUGAGCCAAGAUUGUGCCACUACACUCCAGCCUGGGCAACAGAGCGAGACUUUGUCUCAA
rnacentral:SRP_RNA from 1 species